rnacentral:lncRNA from 1 species
CGCACUCAAGUGAGGAAUGGGGAAGGAGGGUGGAGGAAGGAGCUUGUAAAUGAGCAGCUGGUUUGCAGCAAAACCGCACCUCACUCUGCACCUUUGGAUCCCUCUCAGCCUGAGGUUAGCACAGCCAAUGUCCUCACCAGCGUCUGCCAAAGCCCAUGGAGAAGGCCAGCAGGAGCAUAUCACUGUGACUUACAACCCUUCUCUAGUCUGCUACAAUGGAAUCUUAAACAAGAAAAUUUUAUAUUUUGACUUGCAUCAUUGAGAAAAACACUGCCAACCUGAUCGUGGUUCCUUUGAAGAAUCACUGCAGCAGGUGCGAGAGAGGACUCAUGGAGCUUGCAGAUGAGCUAGCCCAGUUUUUAGAGUACUUCGUCCACGGCGCCAAGGUGUCUAGGGCAGAGACACCACAACCUCCUAAGGUAGGUUAUGCCAUUAAUGUUCCACUUGGGUGGGAAUACACACACACCCACACACACACUAUAAUUCACACUUCCUUAUAGUUAUAUUCCUCAUUCUUUGAACUUAAUCCAUGGUAAAGAAUUAUUUAUUAUGGUGGGGUAGAAGGAGACCCUUUGAGAUUUGAAGACACUGAUUAACCAUGUUAGUGUUUUUCCUCAGGCAAAAUAUUCAUGGGCUCUUUUACCAUAACUUGCUGUCCUUAUUUCCUCAUUAAAUUUCAAGUUUCCACAAAAUAAGAAAAGAAACAACUAAAGAAGAAAUUGUUGGAAGGCAUGGAGCAAAGUGUAAGAACAACUAAGUAAACAUGUACAUUUUGCAUUUUUAAAAAAUUCAGUGGCCAUAAUACCACUGGCCAACAGGCUGAUCAAAUAAUCCCUGAAACAAAGAGUUAUAUGUUACGGAGGGGAUUGAAUCAGAAUACAGAAAAGAGAGACUUGAGAGGUUAAGACAAAACAUCCUGGGAAAUACACCUAUUAAAAUAUGGUAACUAGCUGUUCUCCAUUUCUUUCAAGACAGAAUGGGAAAUGGAGGUAAACACAGCAAGAGUAUUAGUCGGUUAGACAACAGGAAUAUUUUGCUGAUUUUUGUUGUUGUUGUUUUGUUUUUGUUUUUGUUUUUGAGACAGUGUCUUGCUGCGACACCCA